rnacentral:misc_RNA from 1 species
UUUCCGUAGGUGAACCUGCGGAAGGAUCAUUAACGAAUAACUAUGGUGUCUUGGUUGUAGCUGGCUCCUCGGAGCAAUGUGCACGCCCGCCAUUUUUAUCUUUCCACCUGUGCACCGACUGUAGGUCUGGAUGACUCUCGCACUCCGGUGCGGAUGCGAGGAUUGCUCUCGGGCUCUCCUCGAAUUUCCAGGCUCUACGUCUUUUUACACACCCCAAACGUAUGAUACAGAAUGUAGUCAAUGGGCUUGAUCGCCUAUAAAACACUAUACAACUUUCAGCAACGGAUCUCUUGGCUCUC